ensembl:lncRNA
ACUAAAAGAAGCCACGUGCUGCAAUGAAGAUGAAAGAUCACACAUGCUGCAACCAAGACCUGGCGCAGCUAAAUAAGUAAAAGAAUGUGACUGCAGGCUCACACCCGCAUGACCAGGAACUGGGUUCUUCCCUUAACAAGUUGAAUGAGAACCCAAAAGGAAGCUCUAGCUUUAUGAUUAGACUUUGACAUUUGGAUCCAGCCCUUCAGCAAAAGCAUGGACCAAACGGGCCUGGUUCCUUGUAGGGACCAAGUGACCCUCAGGCAAAUGCUCAGUUCUACCUGGACCAACGAGGGAGGAAGCCAUUACUCAAAAAACAGGAACACCAGGAGUCCAGCAGCACUUUGGUCAAAUGGAGAUGCCAGCUUUUCUGUCUGGAUUCUAUCAGGAUUUAUGCUGUGGCCAUUUCAAGGAGACUUGUAAAUAGUUAUAAGCGGUGCAAAUUAUAGAAGUGACUCAUGGACACUUAGAUUAUUUAAUUUGAUUGCUGCCCUCAAAGAUGCCUUGCUGACUGAAGUGUAAUAGCGAUAGGUAAAGAGUGUCUGAGGAGGUUCCUUGACUUUGUCUGCCUGGCUAUUGAUAUGCAUAAAACAACAAGGAAUAAAAGAAAGACUGGGAAAAAAAACAAACAAACAAACCCUGAAGCCUUCCAUACAGCGGUUCCCUGCCUUCGAGUCACAGUCUAAAUGAAACUUUUCAAAUUCCUCUCUCCCAGUUCAGCCUGUUCCCAUCAAUCAGUGGCUGUGGACGAUGGGGCCCUUUACAGGUCAGUCCAUUUAUCCUUGAGACUGCCGACAGGACUUUGCCCUGAAAAAUUCUCAGACAGAUGGGCGACUGUCCUCCUUUUC